rnacentral:rRNA from 1 species
AUGGAAGUGGCGUUAGCUAGCGCUGCCUUAAGUGUUAGCUUAAAAUUGGCUGCAUCACCGGCCUUGAAGAACCUCCUUACUAAUGCUUCAACAUAUCUUGGAGUGGACAUGGCGCGUGAGCUCCAUGAACUGGAGACCAUAAUCUUGCCGCAGUUCGAGCUGUUGAUUGAAGCAGCAGACAAGGGAAAUCACAGGCCCAAGUUGGACAAGUGGCUUCAGGAACUCAAAGAAGCAUUCUAUCUGGCCGAGGACUUGCUUGACGGGCAUGAGUACACCCUCCUUAAGCGCCAAGCAAAGGGGAAAGAUUCCUUGUCGGACAAUGCCUCCUCCAUCAAAAGCACUUUUAUGAAGCCUCUGCGUGCUGCAUCAAGCAUGCUGUCCAUUCUGAGCUCUGAGAACAGAAAGCUAAUUCAACAGCUGAAUGAACUGAAGGCUACCCUGGCGAAAGCCAAGGACUUCUGUGAACUGCUCUGCUUACCAUCUGGUUAUAAUGCAGAGGCCCCCAUCAUAUCAUCAGCUGUUGUUCCGGAGACCACAUCACUGCCGCCUCUGAAAGUGAUUGGUCGUGACAAGGACCGGGAUCGUAUAAUAGAUCAACUUAUCAGGACAACUGCUAUUACCAAGUCUAGUACAGCUAUGUACUCGGGUUUGGCCAUUGUUGGAGCUGGAGGCAUGGGAAAAUCCACCUUGGCACAACAUGUUUACAAUGACAUGAGGGUAAAAGAAUAUUUUGAUGUGAGAAUGUGGGUAAGCAUCUCACGCAAACUUGAUGUCCGCCGUCAUACACGGGAGAUCAUCGAGUCUGCCUCCCAGGGGGAAUGUCCACGCAUUGAUAACCUUGAUACUCUGCAGCGCAAGUUGAGGGACAUACUGCAAGAAUCAGGGAAAUUCCUGCUUGUGUUGGAUGAUGUUUGGUUUGAACCUGCCAGUGGGAGGGAAUGGGACCAACUGUUAGCUCCUCUAGUUUCCCAACAGAUGGGAAGCAAAGUUUUGGUGACUUCUCGGCGGGAUACAUUUCCAGCUGCUCUUUGCUGUGAAGAAGUGUGUCCUUUGGAAAACAUGGAAGAUGCUCAGUUCUUGGCACUCUUCAAACACCAUGCAUUCUGUGGAACAGAAAUUGGAAAUUCGCUGCUGUGUGAAAAGUUGGAAGAUUUUGCAGAGAAGAUUGCUAAAAGGCUUGGACAAUCUCCUUUAGCGGCAAAAGUUGUGGGUUCCCAGUUGAAAGGAAAAACAGAUGUCACUGCAUGGAAGGAUGCUCUAACUAUAAAGAUUGACAAACUAAGUGAGCCCAUGAGUGCUCUUUUGUGGAGUUAUGAGAAGUUAGAUCCAUGUCUGCAGAGGUGCUUCCUAUACUGCAGCUUGUUUCCAAAAGGCCACAAGUAUGGCGUUGAGGAGUUGGUUUACCUUUGGAUGGCAGAAGGCCUUGUUGAUUCAUGCAACAAAAACAAGAGAGUGGAAGAUAAUGGGAUGGAUUGCUUCCAUGAGAUGAUCUCCGCUUCAUUCUUUCAACCUGUUUAUGAGGAAGACACUUUCUAUGUUAUGCAUGAUCUCCUUCAUGAUCUUGCGGAAUCACUCUCCAAAGGGAACUACUUCAGAUUGGAAGAUGAUAAGGUGAUAGAAAUACCAUCAACUGUUCGAUACCUAUCUAUUCGUGUUGAUAGUAUGAAGCAACACAAGCUAAGUAUCUGCAAGCUACACCAUAUCCGCACUAUUAUUUGCAUAGACCCCCUAAUGGAUGAUGUAAGUGACAUUUUUAAUGAGAUACUACAGAAUUUGAAGAAGUUGCGUGUACUACGUUUGUCAUCUUACAGCAGCAGUAAGUUGCCAGAAUCUGUUGUUACUUCUGUUAAAUGA